CCUACGGGUGGCAGCAGUGGGGGAUAUUGCACAAUGGGGGGAACCCUGAUGCAGCGACGCCGCGUGGGUGAAGAAGCGCCUCGGCGCGUAAAGCCCUGUCAGCAGGGAAGAAAAUGACGGUACCUGAAGAAGAAGCCCCGGCUAACUACGUUCCAGCAGCCGCGGUAAUACGUAGGGGGCAAGCGUUAUCCGGAUUUACUGGGUGUAAAGGGGGCGCAGACGGCGAUGCAAGCCAGGCGUGAAAGCCCGGGGCGCAAACCCGGGACUGCGUGUGGAACUGUGGGGCUGGAGGGCAUGAGGGGUAGGGGGAAUUCCGGGUGUAGCGGUGCAAUGCGGAGAGAUCAGGAGGAACACCGGGGGCGAAGGCGGCCUGCUGGACUGCAACUGACGUUGAGGCCCGAAAGAGUGGGGAGCAAACAGGAUUAGAGACCCGGGUAGUC
rnacentral:rRNA from 1 species